rnacentral:rRNA from 1 species
AUGGCGGCGUGCUCACACAUGCAGUCGAGCGGUAAGGCCCUUCGGGGUACACGAGCGGCGAACGGGUGAGUAACACGUGGGUGACCUGCCCUCAGCUCUGGGAUAAGCCCGGGAAACUGGGUCUAAUACCGGAUAUGACCUCUCAACGCAUGUUGGGUGGUGGAAAGUUUUUCGGCUGGGGAUGGGCCCGCGGCCUAUCAGCUUGUUGGUGGGGUGAUGGCCUACCAAGGCGGUGACGGGUAGCCGGCCUGAGAGGGCGACCGGCCACACUGGGACUGAGACACGGCCCAGACUCC